rnacentral:rRNA from 1 species
CGGACGGGUGAGUAACGCGUGAGUUACAUGCCCUGUAGCGGGGGAUAGCCCGGGGAAACCCGGAUUAAUACCCCAUGGUCCCGCAAGGGUAAAGACGGCUUCGGCUGUCGCUGCAGGAUUGGCUCGCGGCCUAUCAGCUUGUUGGCGGGGUAACGGCCCACCAAGGCUACGACGGGUAGCUGGUCUGAGAGGACGAUCAGUCACACUGGAACUGAGACACGGUCCAGACACCUACGGGUGGCAGCAGUCGAGAAUCAUUCACAAUGGGGGAAACCCUGAUGGUGCAACGCCGCGUGGAGGAUGACGGUCUUCGGAUUGUAAACUCCUGUCAUCUGGGAGUAAGACCUGACGGUCAAUAGCCGGCAGGGUUGAUAGUACCAGAAGAGGAAGGGACGGCUAACUUCGUGCCAGCAGCCGCGGUAAUACGAAGGUCCCAAGCGUUGUUCGGAAUCACUGGGCGUAAAGGGUGCGUAGGUGGUGCGGUAAGUCAGAUGUGAAAUCCCGGGGCUUAACCCCGGAACUGCAUCCGAUACUACCGUACUUGAGGACCGGAGAGGAGAUUGGAAUUCUCGGUGUAGCAGUGAAAUGCGUAGAGAUCGAGAGGAACACUCGUGGCGAAAGCGAGUCUCUGGACGGAUCCUGACGCUGAGGCACGAAGGCGGGGUAGCGAAAGGGAUUAGAUACCCCUGUAGUC